rnacentral:pre_miRNA from 1 species
AAUGUACUCCCUCCGUUCGGAAUUACUUGUCGCAGAAAUGGAUGUAUCUAGUUGUAUUUUAGUUCUAGAUACAUCCAUUUCUGAGACAAGUAAUUCUGAACGGAGGGAGUACAUA